GAAAUAAAACAAAACAGAAAAAGAAAACCUACUCCUAUCAUUUCCAGUUGACAGCAACAACUAGACUCCAUAAAGCAGCGUCUUUUCACAUCACCGUCACCGCUAUUGAUGAUAGCAUAUCUCAACAAAAUCUUUUAGCCUUCUGCUACCUUUUCCAAAAGAGCCUUUUCCCUUUUUUCAAUCUGGAAAUCUUGGCCUUUUCUUCUCCAUUGCACGACGGACAUAGCUUGGAAUACCAUCCAACAGAAAUCCCUAAUCAUGUGGCUUGUAACUCUGCAUGUGCCUCCGCCACAAAUGGAGAUGCAACAUCGGAGUGGAUAACCGACUUAGACGCCAAGAUUUCGCCCCUCACAUCUUGUACUACCAGUCCCGAAGCAAAUCUGAAGGCUUGUUGAUCAAAAACUGCAUCAAAGUAAAUAGCCACCCUCGUUCUCCUAUCACCGUGUUUAGGACCUCUGUCUUCUUUUAAGAUGAGUGUCUUCUCAUUUAUUCCUUUCAACUCGGAAAUGUAAUUGGAGAUUUGUUUCGAGAUGUCUCUACUCGCCGUAUUUUUGCUUUUAUAUAUUAACCUAUUUCUAUUUGCCUAGAUUAACCAAAGCCUGCAGCAAAAGAGGCAACACUAUUCACUAGCCCCUUGAUUAAAAACCCAGGACACUGCCGAAUACACGGUUACUAUCUUCCUCGUAUUAACGGCACCUGGGAUACCGAGCUUCAACAACCAUUCUUUUAUGCUUAAGAUUAGUAAAAGUAAGAAUAUAAUUCCAUGAGAUUUUUCAAACUGUAAUUUUAACUUUCGAAGGGAUGUAUAAAUUCCAUUGUUUUCUGUAAAAAACUUUAGUUUCAACAUGUAUAAUGUUAUUACUAGGAUCCAAAGUAGCCUCUUGUAAUAGUUUAUAGGCACUUUUAACUGAGAAAUUGCCGGGCGAUUCUCCUCUCCAUACUUGAAGAUCAUCGUGUACUAUCCUCGCCAAAGGGAUCUGCAUAAUUUUCCGAGCAAUAUUCGCAGUAAAGAUCAUUCCAAACAGAAAUUCGAUCCCCUGUACCAACCCUCCUGCAUAAACCUUUCUCUAAAAGUCUUUUUGCUGGCCAGACGCUCUUCCAGGUAAGCGAAGGUAGGUUUCCUAA